GAUGAACACUGGCGGCGUGCCUAAUACAUGCAAGUCGAGCGAACAGACGAGGAGCUUGCUCCUCUGACGUUAGCGGCGGACGGGUGAGUAACACGUGGAUAACCUACCUAUAAGACUGGGAUAACUUCGGGAAACCGGAGCUAAUACCGGAUAAUAUAUUGAACCGCAUGGUUCAAUAGUGAAAGACGGUUUUGCUGUCACUUAUAGAUGGAUCCGCGCCGCAUUAGCUAGUUGGUAAGGUAACGGCUUACCAAGGCAACGAUGCGUAGCCGACCUGAGAGGGUGAUCGGCCACACUGGAACUGAGACACGGUCCAGACUCCUACGGGAGGCAGCAGUAGGGAAUCUUCCGCAAUGGGCGAAAGCCUGACGGAGCAACGCCGUGUGAGUGAUGAAGGUCUUCGGAUCGUAAAACUCUGUUAUUAGGGAAGAACAAAUGUGUAAGUAACUAUGCACGUCUUGACGGUACCUAAUCAGAAAGCCACGGCUAACUACGUG
rnacentral:rRNA from 1 species